rnacentral:tRNA from 1 species
CAAUCAAUAUCUUAAAUUUAAAGAAUUAAUUUUUUAAAUUAAAAAUAGUAAUAACUUUGAUUGA